rnacentral:rRNA from 1 species
UACGUAGGGUGCAAGCGUUGUCCGGAAUUAUUGGGCGUAAAGAGCUCGUAGGCGGUCUGUUGCGUCGGCUGUGAAAACCCGGGGACGUCAACCCCGGGCCUGCAGCCGAUACGGGCAGACUAGAGUUCGGCAGGGGAGACUGGAAUUCCUGGUGUAGCGGUGAAAUGCGCAGAUAUCAGGAGGAACACCGAUGGCGAAGGCAGGUCUCUGGGCAUUAACUGACGCUGAGGAGCGAAAGCAUGGGGAGCGAACAGG